ensembl:snRNA U6 U6 spliceosomal RNA
GUGCUCACUUUGGCAGCACAUAUACUAAAACUGGGACAAAAGAGAGAAAAUUUGCAUGGCUCCCACGCAAGGAUGGCACACAAAUUCAUGAAGCAUUCCAUAUUUCU